rnacentral:lncRNA from 1 species
AAAAAAAAAAAAAAGGGGUAUCAUGGUACAGAAGUAUGCUUUUCUUUGGUUCGGGUAUAAGCAAGAACUAGCUAUUACAGGGAUAGGUACAAAUAUGGGGAUAAGAAAAAUAGUAUUUGGAUGAAAAUUGAAUUGUUCCCGGGGAUAAGAACAAUUUUAGAUAGUUUUAUAUAGAAAAUGAAAGUAUUGGUGGGGAUAAUCGAGAACUACUAUUCUCGGGUAAAAAAUUAACGUUUGGGUAUAAAGGGAGGGAUAAGGGCCUAUUCCUAUCCUUAUCCCCUAACCAAACGCUGCCUAGAAGUAGAAAUUUAUUUCCUUUUUGGAUCAAGUAAGCUUUGCUGGCAUAUGAUCUUUACUCUCUGUUCCUGCUCUCUUCACCUUUGAGUUGCUCAUCCUUCUAACAGGGGUUAAUUUAAUACAUGUCUCUAUAAAUAUAGCGAAUUAUAAAUAUAUUUCUCCAAAUUCAAAUUUUAUAUGUUGUCCCUACAAAGGUUCUAAUAUUUUCAAAUAUAUCUAUCUGGUUUGUUACUGUUAAAACGUUGUCUAUUUUUUUAAGUGAAAUGACCUUUUUACCAUCACAAAUAUGUACCUUUAAAAGUUUCAACUAUUAAUUAAAAAGGAAUAAAAAGAUCAAUUCACCUUAUUAAAUUACCAGGGUUGAAUAUUUAACCUAUGAUUAACUAAAUUUUUCUAAUGGAUUUUAACGGCAGAGACAUAUUUGAAAUCAUCGGGACUUCUGUAGGGACAACAUAGAAAAAUUAAAUUUUAUAAGAAAUAUAUUUGUAAUUCACUAUGUUUGCAAGAUUAACCGUUUUAACUAAACCAAUGAUCUUUUACUCUAUCUUUUAACUUAAGAGUUUGGGGAUAUAUACAAAAUCUUUUAACCUCAUGCUUUAUCAGAGUAAGAAGUCUCAAGUACGAAUCUCGUUAUGCUGCUAUCAUUAUUAAUUUUUUUUAUUUAAUUCAAACUCAUUUCUUGAAUCUAUCAAAACGUUUUAAGCACAAACUGAAGUAGAAAUAUUGAAUAUAAAUAUUAAAAAUACUAUUCUCGUAUAAUUUAUGCUAUCAAA